rnacentral:pre_miRNA from 1 species
UUUAAGUGUAGCUAUAAGUUUUCGUGUCUGUGUUAUUUGAAAUUUUUUAUAAUUAGUAUUUUUAUCGUGAUUAGAUGAUAAAACAUGAAUAACACUUUAUGCAUGACUUAUAUUUUAUAAUUUUUUUAAUAAGAUGGAUGAUUAAAGUUGAACACGGAAAGUUAUGGUUAUGCCUAAA